rnacentral:misc_RNA from 1 species
AAGACUAUAGACCUGCGGAGUACCUGCGGAAGGAUCAUUACCUAGAGUUUGUAGACUUCGGUCUGCUACCUCUUACCCAUGUCUUUUGAGUACCUUCGUUUCCUCGGCGGGUCCGCCCGCCGAUUGGACAACAUUCAAACCCUUUGCAGUUGCAAUCAGCGUCUGAAAAAACAUAAUAGUUACAACUUUUAACAAUGGAUCUCU